rnacentral:lncRNA from 1 species
UCAGUGUGGAGUGGCAGUAGCAGUGUGGCAGUGGAAGCAACGCAAAUCCAGGAGCGGCCCCAGCCACAGCCACAGCCACAGCCCACCAGAAGCAGAAGCAUCUUCAGCCCAGCAGCCCCAACAGCCCACCACCGCCGCCCAGGCGCCCACCACCGCUCCACGGCCCGCCACCGCCCCACCUGCACGCCUGUGUCCCGCAGCAGGACGCGCUCCCCAGGUGCGCCCCGGCGCUGCAGCUGCACGAUCACCUCCACCUCACUGCCCACCGGCCAGGCGGGGCCGUGACACACAGUCGUGGCCGCCGCCACCUCCUCCUCGCCCUCCUCCGCCUCCCCCUGAUCCCCGUCCUGGACCCCACGCAACACGGAGGCCUGGCCUGCGCUCGGACCCGUGCAUGACUCACGCCGCCGCUGCCACCACAACCACCAACCGCCACCGCCCGCCGCAACCGUCCUGCUGGCGGCGCCGCUGGUCGCUGCCGUUGCUGAUGCAACAGCAACAGUUGCUGGUGUAGCCACGGGGCCACGGCUUCGGUGCGCCGCCGCGGUGGCUGCUGGCGGCGGCGGCGGCGGCGGUGGCGGCGGCAUGGGCAGCCGCGUCCACGGCGUGCCUAGCCAUCCCGUCAGCCCUGUCAGCAGCCUUCCGCCGCCACCACCGAUACCACCACCGCCGCUGCCGCCGCCGCUGCUGCUGGUGCUAGUGGUGCUGCCCGUGCUGCCCGUGCUGACGUUGGGCUGUCCGCCCCCUGAAUGUGAGCCCUCACGUGUACCGCGUGCAUCUGCUACAUCACAGGCGCCGAAGGCGCCUGCGUUGGCUACACCACCGCCAGCACUGGCCGCACCGCCGCCGCCGCCCCUGCCGCCACUCCCACCGCCAUUGACCAGCACGAGCAGCGCCACAGCUACUGCGCAACCUACCUACGGUGCCGAUGCCUGUUAGGGAUGGGCACAAUGUGAGCGGCGCUGGCGACACGUAGACGGCUGCUGUUGAGAAGGGGGAGGCGAGCUGCUGCAAGAGCUGCUUGUCAGGGCGGUAGUGCGCGUGCCAGCAGGCGGUGACGCCGAGUGGGGGCCUGCACUAGCAGGUAUGGUGGAUGCUGCUGCGGCCGAGUCACCCAGCUGCUGCUGCUGCUGCUGCUGGCGGCCGCCCUUGCCUCCUCCCAGCACUUGCCACAGCGGUGCCGUGACCCCAUGGAUCCAGGAGGCGGGCCACCACGUGGCGGCGGACUUGGGCGGGGCGGCGGCAAGUGGCGGCGGCGGUGCCGCUGCACAGCACACACACACACACACACACACACACACACACACACACACACACACACACACACACAAAAACAGAGACACAGAGGCAGUGCACGGGGCGGCGAGGGGCGCAGGCAAGGGAGUCAGCAGUGUUCAGCGUGUCAGUGCCGCUUGACAAGGGAAGGAGCUGACAACACACAUGAUGAGGCCGCCAGGCUUGCUACCUGCCGCACCUCAAGCCAAGCGCAUGUCCUGUCAGGCGGUGGUGGUGGGUGGGAUGGGGGCAUCCCGCCGGUCCUGCCCCAACUGCAAUCAGUCCAGCCCGAUCCGUGGGCACACCCCAAAACCCAACGCUCACCGCGGGCUCACCUUGCUGGUCGCCCGCGCCGCCUGGCGCGCUGGUGCUGCCAUCUGAGGUUCCAGGCGGAGUGCAUGCAACAGGGGGGUUGCGCAAAGGGGGUUGUGGGUCCAGUAAGAGAGGGGGAGGUUCUCAUGCGGGGGUCGCAACAGGACGCACACAUUGCUCCCGACGCGUCGCAAGCGCGCACCCACCUAAUCCAUGUGCACGGUAGCAUACCCAAACAUCAUCCCUGCCUGCUGACCGUGUGUAGGCUCCAGCUCCUCCAAUAUCUCCUUCUCUUGCGCCCGUAGUUCAUUCUGGCGCGUGCGCAGACGGGCUCGGGAACCCUCAAGCAACUUGAGUUGCAGCGCGAACUUACGUGCCUUCUCACCCUCUUCCUCCCUGCGGGACGUCCACAUGACAGCCCAAAAGGAUGGAAUUCAUGGGGAACACGCGCGGUUCAGGGUACCCCCCAACUUGAAGGCGGGGAUGCUGUGGGAUUCCUUGCAAGCUGAAAUUUUAGGUUCGCCACCGCCAUGUACGACAGGCGUUUGUCUUUUGGCACACGGCUUGAGAGGGGUUAUGUGCACAAGAGCCGAAGAAUCGUCGCCCAAUUCUGGAAUGCAGUGCAAGCUCCACGCAUAGCCGAGGGGUGUACAGACCGACCCCACGCAAAUACAUCCACAUCAAUAGUCCUACCCGUUACGAGCGCGAUUGGAGGCCAGGGUGUGCGCAGCAAGGGCACUGCCGGGUAGGCACACACACCGCCGGGUAGCCGCACACACCGCCGUAGGCAUGCACAGCGGGGACGGCGGUCACGAAAUGUCUGACGUAGCCCUGAAGCUUUAGAUAGCACAUAUGUGCAUAUAAGAAUGUGUUAAGAUGACCGCAGCAAAUAAAGGUUUUAUAACCAACCUGCUGCAUGCAGUUUCCAACCGAAAUAUCUUGCCGGCGAGCUACAGCAUUCUAGCAUCUGCUUAGUACACUUUACGUAGGCGACGGCAAAUGUGACGACUGUUCGUCGAACUACGCAGGGCGAACCUAUUGUGCAGCAGGGGCCCAAACAGACAUGUGACCUGUCCUACAGUUGCCUCUGUGGCAAAAGGAAGCAACCCAGGUGCAUCGGAAGGUGCAACUCUGACUGUGUUGGCGGUCCUGUGGGUUUGGGCCUCGGCCCGUGGGAAAGGGAAACGCACCUGAACAGGUACUUGACAAUCUGCCGUCGAUCCUCCGCGUUCUUUGCUAUUUCAUCAUCUAGAUUGUUCAUGAGCUUCCUGAUUUCCUGCACCUCCGCCAUUCCGCGCAUUCUGGUGAGAGACUUUGGUUCUGCGCCUGCAGCUCGCUUCUCGCCGGCGGACUGCUAAAUGGUACGUGACUAUGACAUGUCAAUUCCCGGUAGCCAAGACCGGUCGCGAGCACUUGCCAAUCCUGAAGUCCGGUGCGGGCGCUAGUUGUUUAACUCUUUCGAAUUAAGCUUACAAAAAACAAGUAUUUCAAUGUGCAGGACAACGCCGGGCCUCUGGGCGGACGAUAGCGCAGAUUGAUCUCCAUUGGCCAUGCAACGUGCCCCCCUCCCCUCCAGCCCACUCCUGAGUCGCUGCGCUCCGGGGGCUCAGCCCCCGAAACUCGCUGAGCUGGCGGCAAGUCACGAAAAACGGUUCGUGGUGCUAAGAUGCAAGUGCUAAUGACCAGGGUGCCGGGCCUCUGCCGAGCCUUUGGGGGUGCGAUGUGCGACAGUGGUAAGGCAGGUUGGUGAAGUCCCGUAGGGUACCGGCACCAACACCCACCAGCACUCCUGCCCUGCUCUUGCAAAUUGUUUGCCAUCUGCUGGGGUCUGGGAGUCAGCUACACCCUGCGGGACUUCACCAACCUGCCUUGACACUGCCCCAUCGCACACUAGCACUCUGCUGCUCACAGCCGCCGCCGCCUCCAAAGUUGUUGUUGCUGUUGUGGUGGUGGUGGUGGUGGUGGUGGUGGUGGUGGUGGUGGUGGUGGUGGUGGUGGUGGUGGUGGUGGUGGUGGUGGUGGUGGUGGUGGUGGUGGUGGUGGUGGUGGACUGGUGGUGGUGGUGGUGCUCAGUUUGGCUCAGCGGGUGACAGCUGGGUGACGGCUCAGUCGUGGGCUCAGUGGGACUCACUCACUCUACCCUCCCGACGGGCUCCCUUUUCUGCCUUGCCUCGCCCUGUUUUCCCCCUGCUUGCCACACUGUCGCCCGGCCACUGCUUUGCUGCAUUCUGUCCGCAUUUUCUCUGCGGUUGCCUCUGGUGCUCAUCCGUGGACGCUGGUCACCUUCCGCAGGUGCGCUGCGGCUCUGCAUCGCGAGUGUGGCGUUGCGGUGUGUCUGUGUGGUGCUAUCGCCUGGCCGGGCGCCCGGAGCGUGAGGAAUGCGCAUCAGCAAACUUCCAGCCAGCCAGCAAGUUUUCGGUACAGUAACUCCGGCGUUCGACCAGCCGCGCACUCCUGCCCUGCCGUUGCAAAUUGUUUGCCAUCUUCUGGGGUCUGGGAAUCAGCUGCACCCUGCGGGACUUCACCAACCUGCCUUAACACUGUCCCAUCGGACACUCACUCUACCCUCCCGACGGUGCAGGGACGUGACGUCAACUCCGCAACCAACAUCCGGCACGCGCUAGUGGAGAUGCUGCUGGGGCACAAGCGACCUGCAUCGCUGCAGAAUGGCGGCGGCGGGGGCAGCGGGGGCGGCGGCAGCGGCGGCGGCGGCGGCGGCAGCAGCGGGGGUGCGUGCGCGCAUCUUGAUAGCGGAGGGGGCGGGAAAGGCCACGUGGAGGAGGAGAGCGCAGCGCCGCCCAAGAAGCGGUGCAAGCGCACAGGCUGAGGAGCCGGCUGAUGUCUAGGUAGUGGUCCGCGGUGGGGCUGGCAGGGCAUGCGUAGCGGUAUGACAAGUAGUGCGGCUGUUGACAACUGUGCUGCGUCUGACUGAGGUUGGCUCUGCUGUGGCAUCGCGAUUGCUAGGCACCUGGUUUGGCUAUGUGCCUGUGGAAACCGACCCCGGCUAUGUCCGGGCGAUGAGGUUGUUCGGCCUCAGACUGUGGAGGGGCUCAGCUCCUUUUCCCGUGACCGGGGAACACUUGUCGCUUUGAGCACCGCAUCCAAUACCUGUUCACACACCGGCGUGCCGCUGUGUGGCCGGAACGCCCAUCAAGAUCCAGACACGAUGAGAGGCACGGCCGAUGGCGCCGAGUAAAGCCAUCACCACGCCCAGUGUUCCGGCCAGCUGUUGUACUGUUACGAUCCCUGUUCGAGACAGGGCUGGGCCCUAACUGAUGCCUCUUACGAGUCUUCUAGUGACUACGCGGUCACCUAAGCCUCAUCCGUCACAUCUCGAACGCCUUACCAGUCUCCACACUGAGUUGUGUUCGGGGUGGGCUAGGUAGGCGUUUAAUCGCGCGCCUGCAGUGGUUCCCGUAUGGUAGCUGGCCUGCUUGUUGCUGGGCUAGUGAACGCGGCUGCUUGGAUAGGUGUGCGAGGGGACAGUGGUAAGGCAGGUUGGUAAAGUCCCGUAGGGCGCAGCUGAUUCCCAGAACUAACCCAGCAGAUGGCAAACAAUUUGCAACGGCAGGGCAGGAGUACGCGGCCGGUCGAACGCCGGAGUUACUGUACCGACGAGUUGCUGGCUGGCUGGAAGUUUGCUGACGCGCAUUCCUCACGCUCCGGGCGCCCGGCCAGGCGAUAGCACCACACAGACACACCGCAACGCCACACUCGCGAGGCAGAGCCGCAUCGCACCUGCAGGAAGAUGCUGCUUGGAUAGGUGGGUGUGCGUGGCGGUCGGUUAGCAGCUGUCUUUGUGCCCCGGACUGAGUCAAUGAAAUGCGUGCAGUCCCGGUGAGAAUGUGAGAUGUGCUCAAUACAGCCUACAAUGUACGGUAUCAAGUCUCCCGCGUGAGUCUCCCGUCAAACACAGCCAGAAGUACAGCUACAAAUGCGCUGCGGCAGUAUGGUAGCAGGCGCGUGGUGUGAGCUUGCGUAACUGUCGCGAGUGUCUUGGCCCUUUCAUACAUCCUGUGGCUGCAAUGGCACAACGGCACAACGGCACAACGGCUACGACUGUACGACAACGCCUGAGCCCGGUGGCGACCCUCCGUCCCCUCCUGUUGCUACUGCCGCUACGGCACCACCACUGCUAUCGCUACUGCCACGGGCACCGGUGCCGCUACUGCCACCACCACCGCUGCCCCGCCUGCUCUGCGCCGCCUCCACUUCAACGCCACCAUUGCCGCUACCUCUUCCACCGCCAUCGCCACCACCAUUACCAUCACCACCCCCGCCGCUGCCGCCGCCGCCUCCACUGCUACUGCCGGUACGCCCCUCACCAGUAGGCCUGCUGGCGCCGCCGCGGCCGCGACGCGGGCAGUGCGACGCCGCCGCUACUGCCCCCGCUACUGCCGCCGCUACUGCCGCCGCCGCCGUGAGCAUCAGCGCGCGCAGCGGUGCGAUGAGGAUGACGUCGACGAGGUGUAGCAGCAGCGUCAGCAGCACCCAGGCCACCUCGCGCCGCCGGAAGAUCACCUCCACGCCCACCUGCAGAGGCGUGGUGUGGCAGUAGCAAUGUGGAGUGGCAGUAGCAGUGUGGCAGUAGCAGUGUGGCAGUGGAAGCAACGCAAAUCCAGGAGCGGACCCAGCCACAGCCACAGCCACAGCCACAGCCACAGCCACGGCCAUAGCCCAGCAGAAGCAGCAGCAUCCUCAGCCCAGCAGCCCCAGCAGCCCACCACCGCCGCCCAGGCGCCCACCACAGCCCACCACGGCCCGCCACCGCCCCACCUGCACGCCUGUGUCCCGCAGCAGGACGCGCUCCCCAGGUGCGCCCCGGCGCUGCAGCUGCACGAUCACCUCCACCUCACUGC